rnacentral:rRNA from 1 species
AUGAGUUGGAACGUUCGGGGCCUGAACAACCCAGCCCGGCGUGCUGUAGUUCAGGACACGGCAAACGCGCACCGCCUAGCCAUUCUCUGCAUCCAGGAGACCAAACUUGAGGAGUGGACGGCAGCGAUCGCUAGAGAAGUAGGAGGGCAAAGGCUCGACGACUGCAUCAUCCUGCCAGCUAAUGGCACAACAGGAGGCGCUGCUAUUUUCUGGGAUUCGACCUUGGCCAGAGUCCAAUCCCAUAUGAUCGGCGAGUUCUCCAUCACAGCCAAGGUCACGGUUCUCUCCACGGGAGCUAGUUUUGGGUUGAUGACGGUCUACGGCCCAUCUGAGAGAGCGCGAAAGGACUCCUUUCUGGCUGAACUACUGAGAGCCGCCCAUCCCCAUGGAGAGCCCUGGCUCCUAAAUGGAGAUUUUAACAUCAUCUAUGAGGCCCGUGACAAAAACAAUAGCAACAUAAAUAGGAGGAUCAUGGGUAGGUUUAGGGCGGCAAUCGACGCCGGCGGCCUACGAGAGAUCAAAUGCAAAAAUAGGCGUUUCACUUGGAGUAGCGAGCGUCAAGACCCAACUCUUGCGAGCAUAGAUAAAUUUUUCUGCACAAUGGAGUGGGAGACCAUGUUCCCUGAUUUUGUGCUACACGCGGCGUCCACUUCAUGCUCGGAUCACUGCCCGCUGCUCCUGGCUGCUGCUACUGCCCCUAGGAUGGCGCCCCGGUUCUGUUUCGAAUCGUUCUGGCCAAGGUUCCCGCGCUUCCACGAGACGGUGCAGCAAGCAUGGCAACGGCCAGCCCCAGCGGCCUACGCGUUUGAUCGCCUGAACAUCAAAAUGCACCGGGUAGCUAGGGACCUCAAAAUUUGGAGUAGAUCAUUGUUUAGCGAUGCUAAAAUGCAACUGUAG